CGGGGGCUAAGCAAGGGGUUGUAUGCUAGUUUCUUGAGUUUGUCUGGAGCCACCUUUGGAAAUCUGUCUCCUUUUAAAUGAACUUAAUAUGCCUUAAUCAUUUGUAUGCAAUGGAGUCACCUGCCCUAAUCAAGCCCUGGGCCUCUGGCUUUCUUUGGAUGAAAGUUUUAUACAGAAUGCAUCAAAAAUAAGAUGGAUAGAUGGAUAAGAUAGGUGAUUUUUUAAAAAUAGUAUAAUCUCUGUUUCCCUCCCUCCUUCCCCUGCUCCCCUCUUCCCCUCUGCACAUCAGCAUUUUGAUGGCUGGUCUUUGGACAAGUCUGCAUCUUUUCCCUCUGCAGUAGAUCUCCUUCUUCACGGUCUCUUGCCUAAUGUAACAAGCUUCAGCCUGUGAAUUUCCAUGGCAAGGCCUCAAAACUCAGUGUUGUAGAGAGUCCAGAGUCCCUCAGAGCUACCAGAGCAAUGCCAGCGAAGCAGGGGCCUCACAGAGUUUAGAAUGUUGGGGACUUUGAGUUAUGCUGACCUGACAGCCUCAGGUUGUCUAGGAUUCAGGGAAAGGACAAUGGGAUAGGGAGGGUUUGCAGGGGACAAACCUAGUCACAUGCUUUCAGACAAACGUGUUUUCCUUUGUGUGUCCUGGGAAUCGAGGCCAAUUCUUGGUAUUGAAAUAGGCGUAAGCCUGAGGUCCUCAACUUUAGAGGCUGUGCAGGGGAUUUGGAAAAACCUCAGGCAUGAUGUCCGUGAAGGCCUCAGCUGCUCCCGCCUGGUGCUGGCAGCUGCCUUGUCUACUUCUGCUUUUAGGUUUUUCAACUCGAUGCCCCCAGACCGCCCCAGGAGCUGAAAAUCAGCAGAUAUUUGAGUCAUGCUAGAAAAGGAACUCGAGUCUUCUGUGGGCAGGAAAGUUGAAGCGUCCUGCCAGCUGGUGUCCUCGAAGUUGCCUUAUGAAUUCACGGGCUCUAGGAAUUCUGAUCGGAAGGCGGUCGACCGGCACUUUAUCCAAUCCCAGAAAGGAUCUCUAAGUCGCGUGACUGAUUAUUCAUCUAGAAAAACCUAUAUUUUUAACGUUAAAACAAAGGGGGCUCCCCGGACCUCACAGAGUAUUGGCUGUCUACAAGUGCUUUUCUAUUUUGUAACUGUAAAGAGGUUUCAUACGCACAGAAGAAGAGCAGUUGGGAAUCUGGUCGACUGCCCUAAAACAAAAUGACCUUUGCAUGUACAAAGAUGUUGCAUUCAGACUCUGAAAACAGCAAAUAAAGCUUUGACGCGAGCUG
rnacentral:lncRNA from 1 species